GUUACCAGCUUUCUUUACAAAGCAUAUUAUUUUGUGUUUAACAAAGGAAAAAGAAAAACAAAAGAUUUCAAACAAGUGAAGGCUGAGUAAAUAAUGACAGACAUUUCAUUUUUGGGUGAACACCAAAAAUUAUUUUCCCCAAAGCUUGUCCUGGAGUCAUCUAAAUCAAUUUCUAGCAUGCAUUUUUUUUUUUUUUUUUUACUGAAGCUGACUCGGACAGCAUAAUAUUACUGGCAAUUAUGUCCUUAUUGGUUUUAUGAUAACAGAGCACUGUAGUGAACUGACAAGGACCAACAGAGGAAGCAUAUUGGCAGGGAACUGUUUAAGAACACACUGUAAUUUAUCAUAGGUCCCUCAUACUGUAACACUUGUGCAGGGGAGCAGUAUAGCAUCUUUAGAGUGGGUGUGUUGGAGGAAGAGAAAAAGAGAGAGAGAGGCAUAAGAGAGAGGGGGAGGAGGCGGGUGUGUGUGUGCUUGAAUGAGUGCGGGGGAGCAAGGGGAGGGACCGUUUCUGCGUCUGUCUUCGCUGUCAUUCUGCUGCUGCACAGCAAAGCAGCGAGACACUCCGCUGAAGGGAGGAGAGAGAAAGAGAGAGAAAAUGAGUGACUGGGUAGCACUAGAGCAGCUGCAACUGAGGCAGUCUAACUGAGAGGAGCCAGAUGCUGGAUUUACAUGCUAAAGACACCAGGCACACGGAUUACCUCUUCAGAACAGGAUCUACCGAAUGGUCUUUUUGCAUGUGCUAAUGGAGAGAUAGCUCUCCCUGUAAUAAGGAUUUGGCAGCAAGUGACAAAGCUUGCAGACCCUUGUCUCUUUCUUUGCUCGAUUGUAAAACCAUUUGACUCACUGAUGCUUUUACAUGGUUUCACGCAGGAGGAAUGCUUGGGGGUAGCCCAAGAAGACAAGGAGUAGAUCUGGAGACUGAGGCUGACAAACCCCCCAAAGCCAAGACCCUUCAGGGCCAGGCAGGAGCCAAAGGAGUUGGAGGCAUGGCUGCGAAAAGGGGCAAGUCAGGGCUCCCACAGGCUACUCCUCGGGCUGAGCUGAAGGUGUACCGAGCAGGGAACUCUGAGGGUCGUCUUCCAGUGCCUAGCAACUUGCGGAAACAAAAGUCCUUGACCAAUCUAUGCGUGCUUACAGAUGCCGAGAAGAAGAUGCACCUGUACCAGCCCAAGUGGUCAGACGACAUGGAAAAACCUGGGACAGGUCAGAACAAAUCAGGCAAGCUCAGAGAUCCCGGAGGGAGCAUUGGCAGGGGUAUCCCUCUUUCCAAGAACCUUUCAAAAUCGGAGCAUUCGCUGUUUCAGGGAAAGCCAAAACCCUUUAAUCCACCUUCCAGACUAGGGAAACCCAGUCGGAUACCUAAAAGUCCUUACGCUGAGGUCAAACCCAUCAGCAAGGCUCAAGAGCCGGCUGAUGACAGCAAGUCCGAUGAUGAGAUCUUGUCCAGCAAGGCUAAAGCUAAUGGUAAGAAAUCUUUGAGUGGUACUUCGGGAUCAGCCACCCCAGGAGGAGAUGGAGGUGGGAAAGAUGGACUGGAACCGGAGGAAGGUGACAAGACCUUUCUAAAGGUGGACCCCGAACUGGUUGUAACAGUGCUUGGGGACCUGGAGCAGCUCCUCUUCAGUCAAAUGUUGGAUCCCGAGUCCCAGAGGAAACGCACUGUUCAAAAUGUCCUCGACCUCCGGCAGAACCUGGAAGAGACCAUGUCCAGCUUACGGGGGUCCCAGCUUAGCCACAGGUAUGGAAGUCACACUUUUAGUGCUUGAAAAGGCCACAGAGUCUGUGCUGUGUCAGGAUUAUGACAUGUGCAUUUGUUUGUUUUAAUGUGUGUUUAUUUGUUUAUUUAUUGGGUUUUGUUUUGUUGCUUUGCUUUUGCUGUUUGUUUUGAUGCUUUUUAAUCUUUCAUUCAACUUUGUGUUUGAUUUUUUUAGCUUAUUAUUUUAUUUGUUUUUUUGUAAUCUUGUUUUUAGUUUGCUUUGUUUUAUGUUGUUUUCUUUUCCUUUGCUUCAAUGUUUAUUUUUCUCCAGUGUUUUAUGCUUUUUUGUUUUGUGUUUCUUUUCUUUAGAAUUUUCUUGGGUGCUUUUUUUAAACAUUUGUUUAACUUUGUGUUUGAUUUUUUGCAUAUCGUUUUUUAUUUAUUUAUUUUAUUUUGUUUUUUAUUUUGAUUUAUUUUGUGUGUGUGUGUUUUUGUUGUUUUCCUUUGCUUCAGUGUUUUAUGUUUUUUGUUUUGAGAUUCUUUUCUUUAGAAUUUUCUCGGGUGCUUUUUUAUCUUUUGUUUAACUUUGUGUUUGAUUUUUUGCUUACUGUUUUAUUUUGUUAUUUUGUUUUUAUUUUGCUUUAUUUUGUGUUGUUUUGUUUUGCUUGGAUUCAAUGUUUUUUUUUUCUCCAGUGUUUUUAUGCUUUUUGUUUUGUGUUUCUUUUCCUUAGAAUUUUUUGGGUGCUUUUUUAUGUUUUGUUCAACUUUUUGUUUGAUUUUUUUUUCUUGUUGUUUUAUUUUUUA
ensembl:lincRNA